rnacentral:rRNA from 1 species
AACGAACGCUGGCAGCAUGCCUAACACAUGCAAGUCGAACGAGACCUUCGGGUCUAGUGGCGCACGGGUGCGUAACGCGUGGGAACCUGCCCUUAGGUUCGGAAUAACUCCCCGAAAGGGGUGCUCAUACCGGAUAAUGUCUUCGGACCAAAGAUUUAUCGCCUUUGGAUGGGCCCGCGUUGGAUUAGCUAGUUGGUAGGGUAAAAGCCUACCAAGGCGACGAUCCAUAGCUGGUCUGAGAGGAUGAUCAGCCACACUGGGACUGAGACACGGCCCAGACUCCUACGGGAGGCAGCAGUGUGGAAUAUUGUACAAUGGGCGAAAGCCUGAUCCAGCAAUGCCGCGUGAGUGAUGAAGGCCUUAGGGUUGUAAAGCUCUUUUACCCGGGAUGAUAAUGACAGUACCGGGAGAAUAAGCUCCGGCUAACUCCGUG